CCUACGGGAGGCAGCAGUGGGGAAUCUUCGGCAAUGGACGAAAGCCUGACCCAGCAACGCCGCGUGAGUGAAGAAGGCCUUCGGAUUGUAAAACUCUUUUUAUAGAGAAGAACAAGGAGGUACGUAACUGAACGUCCCCGUACGGUAUCUAACCAGAAAGCCACGGCUAACUACGUGAGAGCAGGUGCGGUAAUACGUCGGUGGGUAGCGUGGUCCGGAUUUAUUUGGCGUAAAGGGAGCGCAGGCGGUUUGUUAAGUCUGAUGUGAAAGGCCGCGGCUCAACCGGGGAAGGGCAUUGGAGACUGGCAGACUUGAGUGCAGGAGAGGAAGGCGGAAUUCGAGGUGUAGCGGUGAAAUGCGUAGAUAUAAGGAGGAACACCGGUGGCGAAGGCGGCUUUCUGGACUGUAACUGACGUUGAGGCUCGAAAGCGUGGGGAGCAAACAGGAUUAGAUACCCUGGUAGUC
rnacentral:rRNA from 1 species